UACAUGGGGUGCAAACGUUGCUCGGAAUUAUUGGGCGUAAAGCGCACGUAGGCGGUUUGUUAAGUCGGAUGUGAAAUCCCUCGGCUCAACUGAGGAAGUGCAUCCGAAACUGGCAGGCUUGAGUACUAAAGAGGGUAGCGGAAUUCCCGGUGUAGAGGUGAAAUUCGUAGAUAUCGGGAGGAACACCGGUGGCGAAGGCGGCGACCUGGGUAGAGACUGACGCUGAGGUGCGAAAGCGUGGGGAGCAAACAGG
rnacentral:rRNA from 1 species